GCGCCCGCGGAGCUCGCUCCCGGGGCUACCCUACUCCGGUAGGGUUUAGAGUCGUCGGGCCUCUCGAAGAAGCUCGGUCCUGAACUCCACCCUUGAAUAAACUACCUUUGUUGCUUUGGCGGGCCGCCUCGUGCCAGCGGCUUCGGCUGUUGAGUGCCCGCCAGAGGACCACAACUCUUGUUUUUAGUGAUGUCUGAGUACUAUAUAAUAGUUAAAACUUUCAACAACGGAUCUCUUGGUUCUGGCAUCGAUGAAGAACGCAGCGAAAUGCGAUAAGUAAUGUGAAUUGCAGAAUUCAGUGAAUCAUCGAAUCUUUGAACGCACAUUGCGCCCUCUGGUAUUCCGGGGGGCAUGCCUGUUCGAGCGUCAUUAUAACCACUCAAGCUUUCGCUUGGUCUUGGGGUUCGCGGUUCCGCGGCCCCUAAAAUCAGUGGCGGUGCCUGUCGGCUCUACGCGUAGUAAUACUCCUCGCGAUUGAGUCCGGUAGGUCUACUUGCCAGCAACCCCCAAUUUUUUAAGGUUGACCUCGGAUCAGGUAGGGAUACCCGCUGAACUUAAGCAUAUCAAUAAGCGGAGGAA
rnacentral:rRNA from 1 species